GAUGAACGCUGGCGGCGUGCCUAAUACAUGCAAGUCGAGCGAACAGAUAAGGAGCUUGCUCCUUUGACGUUAGCGGCGGACGGGUGAGUAACACGUGGGUAACCUACCUAUAAGACUGGAAUAACUCCGGGAAACCGGGGCUAAUGCCGGAUAACAUGUUGAACCGCAUGGUUCUACAGUGAAAGGCGGCUUUGCUGUCACUUAUAGAUGGACCCGCGCCGUAUUAGCUAGUUGGUGAGGUAACGGCUCACCAAGGCAACGAUACGUAGCCGACCUGAGAGGGUGUUCGGCCACACUGGAACUGAGACACGGUCCAGACUCCUACGGGAGGCAGCAGUAGGGAAUCUUCCGCAAUGGGCGAAAGCCUGACGGAGCAACGCCGCGUGAGUGAUGAAGGUCUUCGGAUCGUAAAACUCUGUUAUUAGGGAAGAACAAAUGCGUAAGUAACUGUGCGCGUCUUGACGGUACCUAAUCAGAAAGCCACGGCUAACUACGUG
rnacentral:rRNA from 1 species